AGUCUCACGUCUGAACGUGUCACUGUCACGUUAAUUAAUCUAUUGGGACGUGUUGUGUAACACGUUUCCUUGUUAAAAAACGUGUUGAGCAGGACGUAAUUAUCGUGUUACUAUCACGUUGUAUUUCGUAUUCAAUGAGCCAACAGAACCACGUCAUCUGUCAAAAAAGCCCGACCCAAAAUGGCGAGAAUGUUAUUUGAUGCUUUUGACGUGCAGUUUCAUACUCUUAAGCCUGCUUUGAGUUGUGGGUUAGAAGGAGCCACCUUCUAGCUAGCAGUUUUAAAAGGCUGAACCCCAGAAUCCAGAAACAAGAACCGAGCAGGGACGGAGAAAAAAGAAGAAUCCAAAUGGGAAAUGAGAUAAGGCCUCUUCAUUUUCAACUGUGAAGGAUCUACAUGGACUUGGUCUGGAUAGCCUUUCCUGUUUUGAUGAGCCAGUCGGGUCUAGAGGAAAAACCCUAUAUGAGCCCCAGGGUCGUAGCAAUACUGUCUGGUUUUUGCCCCUCAACCUUGCUGGCCAUGUUAACUAUCUUGCUCAGUUUGUUUUUUUUUUGGUCACUGACAAAGAGAAAUACCAGGUAACACAACAAAAAAGUAGCAUGCUCUCCACAAAUGAAUGAUAGAAAAGUAAUAUAUCUCUAUCCACUCUAAAUUGUCUUAGUUUGCACAUAAAAUGCAGCCUC